rnacentral:rRNA from 1 species
UACAGAGGGUGCGAGCGUUGUCCGGAAUCACUGGGCGUAAAGGGCGCGUAGGUGGUGGCUUAAGCGUGCGGUGAAAGCUCGGGGCUCAACUCCGAGUCGGCCGUGCGAACUGGGCUCACUGGAGCAUAGUAGAGGCAGGUGGAAUUCCGGGUGUAGCGGUGGAAUGCGUAGAGAUCCGGGAAGAACACCGGUGGCGAAGGCGGCCUGCUGGGCAGUAGCUGACGCUGAGGCGCGACAGCGUGGGGAGCAAACAGG